rnacentral:rRNA from 1 species
CACGUAGGGUCCGAGCGUUGUCCGGAAUUACUGGGCGUAAAGCGUGCGCAGGCGGUUAUGUAAGACAGGUGUGAAAUCCCCGGGCUUAACCUGGGAACUGCAUUUGUGACUGCAUAGCUAGAGUACGGUAGAGGGGGAUGGAAUUCCGCGUGUAGCAGUGAAAUGCGUAGAUAUGCGGAGGAACACCGAUGGCGAAGGCAAUCCCCUGGACCUGUACUGACGCUCAUGCACGAAAGCGUGGGGAGCAAACAGG